rnacentral:rRNA from 1 species
UGGGGAAUAUUGCGCAAUGGGCGAAAGCCUGACGCAGCGACGCCGCGUGGAGGAUGAAGGUCUUCGGAUUGUAAACUUCUGUUAGGUGGGAAGAAAUGCAUAACUCUAAUACAGUUAUGAGAUGACGGUACCAUCAGAGAAAGCACCGGCUAAACUCGUGCCAGCAGCCGCGGUAAUACGAGUGGUGCAAGCGUUAUUCGGAGUGAUUGGGCGUAAAGGGUGUGUAGGCGGUAUGCUAAGUCAGUUGUUAAAUACCUCGGCUUAACCGAGGAAAGGCAGUUGAUACUGGCGUGCUUGAGGAUGGAAGAGAGAAGUGGAAUUCUCGGAGUAGCGGUAAAAUGCGUAGAUCUCGAGAGGAACACCGAUGGCGAAGGCAGCUUCUUGGUCCAUUCCUGACGCUGAAACACGAAAGCGUGGGGAGCAAACAGG